rnacentral:rRNA from 1 species
GUCCCCUGAACCUUAUCAUUUAGAGGAAGGAGAAGUCNUAACAAGGUUUCUUGCAUGCGUUAAGCCGUUUGCGGGGGACGAACGGUGUUGGGCGGACACUUUACUUUGCCCGCCCUGCUCGGGACCUCGCAUCGUGUUUGUGAUUUGCCUCCGGGCACUCCAGACAUGAUGCAUAGGCACGUAGCGAAAUGCGAUUGCAACCCCGGCGCGGCCUGCGCCAAGGAACAUAUGACAGGGACUCUCGGCAACGGAUAUCUCGGCUCUCGCAUCGAUGAAGAGGCAACGGAUAUCUCGUCCGCCGCCUGUGACGUCACGAGAAUACUUGUGAAUUGCAGAAUCCCGUGAACCAUCGAGUCUUUGAACGCAAGUUGCGCCCGAGGCCUUUCGGUUGAGGGCACGCCUGCCUGGGCGUCACGCCUUGUUUCGCUCUGUUCCCAUUGCCCCGGCCCUCCGUGCCUUGUUUGCAUGCGUGUAGCUAGGUGUGCGGCUGUCGGNGCCGGGAUGGGCACGACGAGUGGUGGACGGAGCACCAGCAGGAUGUCAGGGGCUCAACCCGAAUUAGGCGAGCCGCUCCUUAUGAGGAGGGCGUGUCGUCUCGCAAUGCGACCCCAGGUCAGGCGACUGAGUUUAAUUCAUUGUCGAGAACCGAUCGAGAGACCGCGAACNUGUAAAUGGAUGAUACCGGGACACCCGAAUUGCGGCGAUGCGAGCGUCAA